rnacentral:rRNA from 1 species
AGUGUGACCGAUAGUGUAUGAGUACCGUGAGGGAAUGGUGAAAAGUACCCCGGGAGGGGAGUGAAAUAGUUCCUGAAACCAUGUGCUUACAAUCCGUCAGAGCACCGUUUGUGUGUGAUGGCGUGCCUUUUGAAGAAUGAGCCUGCGAGUCAGCGGCAUGUCGCGAGGUUAACCCGUGUGGGGUAGCCGUAGGGAAACCGAAUCCUAAUGGGGUGUUUAGUGGCAUGUCCUGGACCCGAAGCGGGGUGAUCUACCCAUGGCCAGUGUGAAGCAGCUGUAAGAGGUUGUGGAGGCGCGAACCCACGUAGGUUGAAAACUGCGGGGAUGAGCUGUGGGUAGGGGUGAAAGGCCAAUCAAACUCCGUGAUAGCUGGUUCUCCCCGAAAUGCAUUUAGGUGCAGCGUCGUAUUAUAGCUUGGUGGAGGUAGAGCGACUGGUUGGUUGAGCGGGACUACAAUCUUAGCAAUGUCAGCCAAACUCCGAAUGCCACUAAUUGUGUUGUACGGCAGUGAGACUGUGGGGGAUAAGCUUCAUAGUCGAGAGGGAAACAGCCCAGAUCGCCGGUUAAGGCCCCUAAGGGUGUACUAAGUGGAAAAGGAUGUGGGAUCGCGAAGACAGCCAGGAGGUUGGCUUAGAAGCAGCCAUCCUUGAAAGAGUGCGUAAUAGCUCACUGGUCGAGUGGUUCUGCGCCGACAAUGUAGUGGGGCUCAAGUACACCGCCGAAGCCGCGGCAAACUUUUUUGUUUGGGUAGGGGAGCGUCGUGCAUGGGUGGAAGCGUUACCGUAAGGAGGCGUGGACUGUGUGCGAGUGAGAAUGCAGGCAUGAGUAACGAAUUGAUAGGUGAGAAUCCUAUCCGCCGGAUGACUAAGGGUUCCUGGGUCAAGUUCGUCUUCCCAGGGUGAGUCGGGACCUAAGGCGAGGCCGACAGGCGUAGUCGAUGGAUAACCAGUUGAUAUUCUGGUACCCGUACAUGCGCGCCCAUGAUGAAGCACUGAUACUAACCACCGCGGAUGCACUGCUAGUCUUCUUUGAAGAUUGGUGGUGUUGAUGUCGUGGGGCCUGAUGUGUGGUUCAAGUGAUGGGGUGACGCAGUGAGGUAGCCACGCCACUUAUUGGAUUGGUGGUGUAAGCGUGUAGAUCGUGUGGUAGGUAAAUCCGCC